GAAGAUAAAUAUGAUAGUGAUGAAUGAUUUAAUUUUCUUACAUGUUGAGAAUAGUAGAAGACCGAUGAACACCAGAGUUGCUUU